rnacentral:rRNA from 1 species
GAUGAACGCUGGCGGCGUGCCUAAUACAUGCAAGUCGAGCGAACGGACGAGAAGCUUGCUUCUCUGAUGUUAGCGGCGGACGGGUGAGUAACACGUGGAUAACCUACCUAUAAGACUGGGAUAACUUCGGGAAACCGGAGCUCAUACCGGAUAAUAUUUUGAACCGCAUGGUUCAAAAGUGAAAGACGGUCUUGCUGUCACUUAUAGAUGGAUCCGCGCUGCAUUAGCUAGUUGGUAAGGUAACGGCUUACCAAGGCAACGAUGCAUAGCCGACCUGAGAGGGUGAUCGGCCACACUGGAACUGAGACACGGUCCAGACUCCUACGGGAGGCAGCAGUAGGGAAUCUUCCGCAAUGGGCGAAAGCCUGACGGAGCAACGCCGCGUGAGUGAUGAAGGUCUUCGGAUCGUAAAACUCUGUUAUUAGGGAAGAACAUAUGUGUAAGUAACUGUGCACAUCUUGACGGUACCGAAUCAGAAAGCCACGGCUAACUACGUG